UGGGGAAUUUUGGACAAUGGGCGAAAGCCUGAUCCAGCAAUGCCGCGUGUGUGAAGAAGGCCUUCGGGUUGUAAAGCACUUUUGUCCGGAAAGAAAUCCUUGGCUCUAAUACAGUCGGGGGAUGACGGUACCGGAAGAAUAAGCACCGGCUAACUACGUGCCAGCAGCCGCGGUAAUACGUAGGGUGCAAGCGUUAAUCGGAAUUACUGGGCGUAAAGCGUGCGCAGGCGGUUUGCUAAGACCGAUGUGAAAUCCCCGGGCUCAGCCUGGGAACUGCAUUGGUGACUGGCAGGCUAGAGUAUGGCAGAGGGGGGUAGAAUUCCACGUGUAGCAGUGAAAUGCGUAGAGAUGUGGAGGAAUACCGAUGGCGAAGGCAGCCCCCUGGGCCAAUACUGACGCUCAUGCACGAAAGCGUGGGGAGCAAACAGGAUUAGAUACCCUGGUAGUCCACGCCCUAAACGAUGUCAACUAGUUGUUGGGGAUUCAUUUUCCUUAGUAACGUAGCUAACGCGUGAAGUUGACCGCCUGGGGAGUACGGUCGCAAGAUUAAAACUCAAAGGAAUUGACGGGGUCAUAGCUG
rnacentral:rRNA from 1 species